rnacentral:lncRNA from 1 species
CAUUUUUCUUUGCUAGGAAUUCAACCUAGCUUGCGCCACCUGGAGGAUCAUCGGUGCCACGCACCUCCACCCCACCGCCGGUUCACGGAUCAAGACCAGGUAAGCCCUCCUUUCUCUUUUAAAACUUUGUUUGAUUAUUUUCAAAAAUAAGGAAAAAAAAGAAAGGAAAAAAAAUGUAGAUGCACAACAAAGGCUAAAAACCUUGAAAAAAAAAACUAUAAUCACCUUUGAUUCUAUUGGAUGGUAUUAAAAGUUUACUCAGAAAUCUGGUAUAUUUCUCUGUAUUUCUCUUGAUUCCCCCGAAAAAAAAACUCUCAUUUAUACCGUAUUUUCAAUGGCUUUUUAUAGCCUAGAAAUAAAAUAAGGGAAAAACAAGUCUCCUCUUGUUACUAUGCUUCUUGUUGUUUUCUGUUGAAGAUAUAGCUGCGAAAAUUUCGGAAUCGAGAGGCGUCGCGGAGUGGGACGCUGGUGAGAGGCGUGCGGCGCGAGGACUCAUGCAACAACUUUGAGUCUCUGUUCGUUUGGGCCUUGUUUGGGUCUAUUUUUGUGCCUAUUUUUCUUGUAUUGGAUCAUGGCAUGAAUUUGGUCCUACAGCUGCCCCUCUUUGCUCAUUGUCGUGUAACGAGAACAGAGCAAAGAUUUUAGAAGGGCCAAAUUUGCCUGGGCCAGCUGAGUCUUGUCUUCCUUGCCGCAACCCACCGCGCCUUAUUGUUUCAAAACGCUCCGUUGCUGCUUCACGGAUAUGUGAUCUACUGUAAUUUGAUCUGCUUUACUCCUGCUCAGUAAAGAUAAGAUCUGUAUGUUUAGCCUACUUCACUCCUGCUCAAUGAAGAUAAGGCUGGUGGCUGAAAUCUACUCCAUUGCCGAUAUAUAGAGAUAAGACUCGCCAAAAUUUGAUCUGCUUCACUCCUGCUCAAUGAAGAUAAGAUCUAGUAUAUAGCCUGCUCCACUCCUGCUCAGUGAAGAUAAGGCUGGUGAUUGGAAUCUGCUCCAUCGCCGGUACGUGGAGAUAAGAUUCAUCAAAAUUCGAUCUGCUUCACUUCUGCUCAGUGAAUAUAAGAUCUGGUAUUUAGCCUGCUCCACUCCUACUCAGUGAAGACAAGGCUGAUGAUUGGAAUCUGCUUCAUCGCCGGUACGUGGAGAUAAGAUUCAUCAAAAUUCGAUCUGCUUCACUCUUGCUCAAUGAAGAUAAGAUCUGGUUUAUAGCCUGCUUCACUCCUGCUCAGUGAAGAUAAGGCUGAUGAUUGGAAUCUGCUCCAUUGCCGGUACGUGGAGAUAAGAUUCACCAAAAUUUGAUCUGCUCCGCUCCUGCUCAGCGAAGAUAAGAUCUGCUAUAUUUAACCUGCUUCACUCCUGCUCAGUGAAGAUAAGACUGAUGAUAUCUGUAAUCUUGCUACAUUGUCCACUGGGGAAUCCAUCUGUAGCAGAGUGACAUGCUUAUGCCAUGAUUAAUGUGAACCAAAUGUUCCUAACUACAUGUAUUAUGGAUGUUAAAUGCACAAAAUGCAAAAUGUCAUGAGAAUGAUCCAUUUUUAAUUUUUGGGUUGUCAUCGCUCGUCGUUUACUAAGGUAACAUCCCUGACAUAUGCCUUCUUGUUCAGCUCAGUAGAAGAGGACUUGGAGAUGCAAUUAAUUCCUUAUUUCUCACACAUUUCUAGCCCUUUUAAGCUUGGUGAGUUCUAAAUAAUCGUCCUGUUUCAGGUUCUCGUACUGUUUAGAAACCUUUCAGGGUAAUAUGCAAAACCUUCUUUUGAGAGCAUCAUUAGUUCAUUAAUUAUUAUUUCAAUAAAAAUACUCGAAAAAUAUUAUAAUGAUAGGUAGAACUGAAAUUUAUUCGAGUCAGAAUUUGCGAAAGAUGUAUCAACAAAGAAAGCAGUCAUUGCUUGAGAUACAAAAACAGAUGAAAAGGAACAGAAUAGGUCCCCCAGAUUUCGCAGUUUGAGCUUCUCUGUACGAACUCCUCGAGGACCUUUUUAAACUUGGCAUGCUCUCAAAGGAUCUAUAGCAUUUUGUUGAUGCCCCAAGAUGUAGCUUAUCCCCUCUUUGUCGAUUCAAGUAUAGUGAGAUUGCCGCUUGCCCCAAUUUGGAUCGAAAUUUGAAUUCCCUUUGCGGGUUUUCAACUCAAAACCCCUUUGGUCUCAAUGCGCCUUUUACGAGUUUUCACCUUGGCCUCUCCUUUUUCUUUGUUUUUUUUGGCGCCCUUUACGGGUUUUCACCUCGAGUGCUUCAAGCAAAAUAUCUUUUGACAGAAUCCGAAUUUAUCGGGUUAGGCAAGCUCUUGCCAUCCAUCUCUGCUAGUAUCAAUGCCCCUCCAGAGAAAGCUUUUUUUACCACAUAGGGUCCUUCCCAAUUUGGCAUCUAUUUCCCUCUGAAAUCUUUUUGCAUAGGGAGAAUCUUUUUCAACACUAAGUCUCCCUCAUUGAACACCCUAGGGCGAACUUUUUUGUUGUAGGCUCGCAUCAUUCUCCUCUGGUACAUUUGGCCAUGACGAAUAGCCUUUAGCCUCUUCUCUUCAAUCAAGUUUAGUUGAUCGUAACGAGAUUGCAUUCAUUCUGAUUCGUCUAACUUCAACUCUGAUAAAACUCGGAGAGAAGGGAUUUCGACCUCAAUAGGUAAAACUGCCUCCAUCCCAUAAACUAAUGAGAAAGGUGUUGCCCCGGUAGAAGUUCUGACAGAUGUCCGAUAAGCAUAAAGGGCAAAUGGGAGCUUUUCAUGCCAAUCUUUGUAAGUCUCCGCCAUCUUCCCCACAAUCUUCUUGAUAUUCUUAUUAGCUGCCUCAACCGCCCCAUUCAUUUUCGGGCGGUAUGGUGAUGAGUUGUGAUGUUUAAUGUUGAACCAACUACAGACUUCUGCUAUUGCGCUGUUGUUCAGAUUCAAUGCGUUGUCGGAUACGAUUCUUUCUGGCAUACCAUAACGACAUAUGAUCUCCUUCUUCAGGAACUUGCUGACCGCCGACUUUGUGACAUUGGCGUACGAAGUAGCCUCUACCCAUUUGGUAAAGUAGCCAAUAACCACAAAAAUAAAUCGAUAUCCGUUGGAAGCUUUUGGCGAAAUUGGCCCAAUAACGUCUAUGCCCCACAUUGAGAAUGACCAUGGGGAAGUCAUAACAUGGAGGGGUGAAUGAGGCACAUGGAUCUUGUCUCCAUAAAUUUGACACUUAUGGCAUUUCUUAGCGUAAUUGAUGCAAUCUCCUUCCAUUGUAGACCAGUAAUAUCCGAAUCUCAUGAUUUGUUGAGCCAUUGUGAAACCAUUGGCAUGUGUCCCACAGACACCAUCAUGGACUUCCUCUAGAAUUUUUUUGCCUCAACAGCGUCAACACAUCUUAACAACACCUGAUCCUUUCUCUUCUUAUAUAGGACCUCACCGUCUAGGACAUUGUCACUAGCUAACCUCCUCAAUGUUCUUUUAUCAUUUUUGGUUGCUUUAUCUAGGUACGCACGGCUCUUCACAUAUUGUAAGAUAUCAUGAUACCAAGAAUGAUCAUCUCCCUCUUCUUCUUCCUCUUCAUCAACAUUACAGCAGUGAGCUGAGGCCUCACAAAUACUCAUCUGAAUUGGCUUCAUAUCCUCCUGUUCAUUUACUUUGACAUGGAAGCCAGUGUAGCCAAGGCGUCAGCCAUCUGAUUCUCGAUUCGCGGGAGGUAAUGAAAGGUAAUAUCAUCAAACUUUUCAAUUAACUCCAGGAUUAACUUUCGGUAACUGAUCAAUUUGGGAUCUCUCGUUUCCCACUCGCCUUUAAGUUGAUAAAUUACCAAUGCAGAGUCUCCGUACACUUCUAAUACUUUGAUUUCGCGGUCUAUAGCUGCCCGAAUUCCCAUGAUACAUGCAUCGUAUUCUGUCAUGUUAUUUGUGCAGUCAAAAUCCAGCUUGCAAGUGAACGGAUAAUGAUCUCCAUUUGGGGAUAUUAGUACUGCCCUAACUCCAUUUCCAACGGCAUUUGAUGCUCCGUCAAAAUUUAAUUUCCAGGAAUGAUUUUCAGGCAUGUCCCCUUCAGCGAUUGCUACAUACAUUAGAUCUUCAUUGGGGAAAUUGAAAUUCAAAGGUUCAUAAUCCUCCAAAGCUCUACUGACUAGGAAAUCUGUUAUUGCACUCCCAUUCACAGCUUUUUGGUUUACAUAGACUAUGUCAAAUUCGGAGAGCAGAAUCUGCCACCGGGCCAUCCUUCCAUUUAAAGCGGUUGACUCCAUCAUGUAUUUGAGAGGGUCUAGCUUUGAGAUUACCCAAGUUGUAUGGUACAACAUGUAUUGCCUCAACCUUCGUGUUGUCCACACCAAAGCACAACAUAGCUUCUCAAUUGGUGGAUACCUCAUUUCACACUCAGUAAAUUUUUUACUGAGGUAAUAUAUCGCUCUUUCUUUUCUCCCAGUCUCAUCGUGUUGGCCGAGCACACACCCCAUCGAAUUAUCAAAUACUGUUAAGUAUAGUAUCAAUGGUCUACCAAGGCUUGGUGGUGUUAGCACUGGGAGACUAGACAAAUAUUGUUUAACCUUUUCAAAGGUUUUUUGGCAUUCAUCAUCCCAUACCCCAGGAUUGUGCUUUUUCAGAAGACGGAAUAUGGGGUCGCACUUCUCUGUCAGUUGCGAAAUAAAUCAUGCGAUGUAGUUUAGUCUCCUUAGAAAACCUCGAACUUCUUUCUGAGUUCGUGGCAGAGGCAACCCCUGUAUAGCCUUAACUUUAUCAGGGUCGACUUCUAUUCCCUUCUCACUGACUACGAAGCCAAGUAACUUUCCAGACCUAGCUCCGAAGGUGCAUUUUGACGGAUUGAGCUUUAAUUGGAAUUUUCUCAACCUCAGGAACAAUUUCCUCAACACUCGCACAUGCUCCUCUUCAGUUCGGGAUUUUGCAAUCAUGUCGUCAACGUAGACCUCAAUUUCCUUGUGCAUCAUGUCAUGGAACAAGGUUACCAUGGCUCUUUGGUAUGUGGCUCCUGCAUUUUUCAGCCCGAAGGGCAUCACCUUGUAGCAAAACGUUCCCCAUAAAGUUAUGAAUGUGGUUUUUUUCAUGUCCUCAGGAUGCAUCUUGAUCUGAUUGUACCCGGAGAACCCAUCCAUGAAGGAGAACAGUGAAUAACCUGCCGUAUUAUCCACUAGAGUGUCUAUGUGAGGCAAUGGAAAGUUAUCCUUUGGGCUGGCCUUGUUUAAAUCUCUGUAAUCUACACACAUCCGUACUUUCCAUCUUUCUUAGGGACAGGGACGACGUUGGCUACCCAUUCUAAAUAAUUGACCACUUGUAGGAAUCCGGCAUUAAACUGAUUCUUGACUUCUUCUUUUAUUUUCAUUGCUACAUCGGGUCUCAUCCUUCGGAGCUUCUGCUGAACUGGCUUGUACUCCUUUUUUGUAGGGACACGGUGCACUGCGAUAUCGGUACUUAAACCAGGCAUAUCCUGGUAUGACCAUGCAAAGACGUCCUUGAAUUCUUGCAACAGCUCAAUGAGGUCCUGUCUUGUUUUCUCGUUAACGCAAGUGCCAAUUUUAACUUCCUUCCCCUCUUCCAGGGCCACAAUCUCAGUAGUCUCUUUGUGUGGCAGGAUCUGUUCAUCUUCUCGCUCCACCAUCCUUAACAAAUCGGGAGAUAAACCACGAUCUUCGUCCUCUUCAAAAUCUUGAAAUCCCUCAAAGUGCAUGUCUUGCUCAAAAUGAGAUUCCGGGCUCGUAUCAGCAUUACUCAUGACGUUGACAUCCGGGGGCCUAUUAUGAGUAUAAGAGAAUACCAAAAGAAAACGAAAUGAAUAAUUCCUCUGUAUGGUAUGAUUAUGUAUAAAAUGAAAAGGAAGAAAGAAUAAUUGCUCGAACCGAUAUAUGAAAAUGCAUUUUUAUUGAAAAUAAUAAUGUUUAAACAUGAGCCUAUUUCACAAAAGAUUCUUAUUGUCCCUAGGCUAGAAGACAACAAGUGGGUUUUGAAUAUUACUCUGUGUUAUCUCUAAAGAUUACAGGAAUUUCUUCUACAGUCCAGUUAUUCAAAACACUCCCAGGCUCAUACGGGCAAAUGCCUGAUAAAUUUCUUUCCAUUGCUUCCUCUUCAAAUAUGGCAUUGAUGCUCCAAAUUCCCCUAGCAUCUUCAGUUAUUCCUUCUUUCACCUUAUACUGUAUGGAAUGAAUAAACCCUCUAGAUACAAAUGUUUGGGAAAUGUAGGGGAAGUUCAUCGGUUCCCACCUGACUUCUGUCCCUCUCAAUCUCGCUCUCCGCUGUUCUUGUUUCCUUUCAAACUCCUUCUUCACUUGGCUUGCAUCUGGCCUGAAUCUCAAACCGAAGCGAUCCCACUUGCCAACCAAGACUGGCACUCUAACUUUUCCACGAAGGUGCUUCCCGAGUCCUCUGCCAGGUAACGCACCUUUCCUAACUGUCAACUGCAGGCUCAUUUUCGUAGCCCUUGAUAUCCUAGGUAUCGGAAUCCUGUUUCCUUCAGCUAUAAACGUUGCGUUUACAAACUCUAAUGAUUGAAAUGAACAUUCAACUGCUUCGUUGUCAUUCUCUAUGUAGGGUGUAUCACUGGUAACUGACGCAAUAAUGUCCUCCUCCGCAUUUUUGUUAUUAGCCGACCCUCAGUAACCAUCUUUAGCUUCUGAUGCAGCGAGGAUGACACUGCCCCAGCUGAAUGAAUCCAAGGUCUUCCUAAUAGACAGUUAUAGGAGGCUUAAUAUCCAUCACGAGGAAAUCUACCUCGUACGUGUUUGGGCCAAUCUGAAGAGGUACUUCUAUCAUUCCCAUUACUUUCCUUUCUGUGCCAUCAAAUGCUCUUACUAUGUUCUGACACGUCUUCAUAUGAGAACUGUCUAUAGGUAAACGGUUUAAUGUAGCCCACUGAAACACGUUCAAUGCGGACCCAUUAUCAACUAGUACUCCGGGUAGCGUAUACCCCUUGCAAUGUGUAGUGACAUGUAAAGCCUUAAUAGACCCCCUACCCCCUGGUGGUAUCUCAUCAUCGCUGAAGGAGAUGAAAUUGUCAGCGCUUAUGUUGCUGACGAGACGAUCCAAUUUGUUAACUGAAAUGUCAUCCGCAACAUAGGUUUCGUUCAACACUUUCAUUAAUGCGUUGCGGUGGACCUCCGAAUUUAACAGCAGAGCUAAUACCGAUAUGUGAUCCGGUUGUUGGUGUAGUUGUUCCACAACAUUAUACUCGCUGUGUUUUAGGAACUUCAAGAACUCAUUGGCUUCCUUUUCCAUUACUGGAUCAUUAACUAGUGGUUCUGAUCUCUCUGCUUCAUGCCUAAACAUGACGAGUUUCCCUUUUGUUGGUUCGGCUUCUAUGUUUGGCGUGUUAAUCGAACCCUCCUUCUUUGAAACUGCUAUACUACAGUUAUAAUUCCAAGACCCUAUGGCUAUCUUUAUAAGGGGAAGCUGUUGGCUUCUAGAUUAUAACUCUUGGUGUAAUUCUUGCUUCUACUUCACUAACUCUAGGCUUCGAAAUAAUUAUCACUGGACGGCUGGCUCUGCCGCCUUCCUCACUCGACUCUCCUCCUAGCGAGCAUACAUCCCCCUCUUCGACAGACUUAAAGAACUCCAAUUCCUUAUUAUCCAUUAAACCCUGUACUAGGGCUCUAAACUCAAUACAAUUCUAUAUCUCGUGAUCUUUCUCAUGAUGGAACUCACAGUAGUUCCGUGUAUCUUGGAUUUUAUCUCCCAACCCUUGCGGGACUAAACCUCUUUUCUGCAUUUCAUUCCAAACUAGCUUCAAUGGGGUUCUCACCUCCGCGAUAUUCAGCUUGACUUUUCUCCCCACAUUCUCAAUUAUGGCGUUUACCCCUUUAUCAGUAUGACUGGGCAACGGAUUUCCUGUACCAGGUGUAUCAUCAAAUUUUAAAACACCUGCUUUGAUAAGCCUUUCCACGCACCUUUUGAAUGAGGUACAGUUUUCUAUCAAGUGUCCCGUAAUCCCUGCGUGGUAUUCGCACUGAGCAUUUGCAUCGUACCACUUAGGGUAUGGGGGCUGCAACGGCUCUAAGUGGAAAGGAGCCACUACAUGUGCAUCAAACAGACUUUUGUACAACUCCUUAUAUGUCACUGGUAUGGGAGUAAAUUGAAACUUCUCUGUAUUCUGUCUCAUGUUAGGCUCUCGCCUUGGUGAGACCUGCUGGCCUGUGACUAUCGCCCUUGACUGAUUAACAGUGGCCAGUUUUACGUAGCCUGAGCUCACAUUACCUACUUCAUUCUCUCUUUUCUUCGGGGCUGACCUUCUCGUGUUCUCCCUGACUUCUAUCUUACCUGAUCUUAUGGCAUUUUCUAUCAUUUCGCCAGACAUUACUAUGUCUGCAAAGCUCUUAGUUGCGUUACCUAACAUAUGAGUAAUGAAAUGCGCCUUCAAUGUAUUGAUGAAGAGCAUGGUUGUUUCUUUUUCUAGCAACAGUGGUUGGACCUGUGUAGCAACCUCUCUCCAUCUCUGAGCAUACUGCCGGAAGCUUUCGCUUGGCUUCUUCUCCAUAUUUUGGAGUGUGAUCCGGUCUGGUGCUAUAUCUGUUAUAUGGCCGUACUGCUUCAUGAAGGCCUGAGCUAGGUCCUUCCAUGACUUAACUUGGGUACGACUCAACUGAUUGUACCAUUUGGCCGCAGCCCCAGCCAAACUAUUCUGAAAACAGUGAAUCAACAACUGAUCAUUAUUGACAUGACCCGUCAUUCUCCGACAAAACAUCGUGAUGUGAGCCUCAGGGCAACUAGUUCCGUUGUAUCUUUCAAAUUCUGGUAUUUUGAACUUGGGAGGUAAUACCAAAUCUGGGACUAGACUCAACUCUCUGGCAUCCAUUCCGCAGUAAUUAUCAACACUUUCCAACGCCUUGAACUUCUCCACCAACCAUUUAUAUUGGUCCUCCAUUUGUUUGGGCAGUUCUGUUUUUUCUUUUUCCACCUCUGCUGCGUCGUCGAAGUCAGGGACCUGGGGGUUUGCUAGAUUAUCCUUAGGGUUGGUGCUCGAUCCCGCUGGGAAGUUUACUGGUGCCGAGGUACCAGUUUGGUAAAGAGGUUGGACAUUAACAGACACCCAUGGUGGUUGUGUUUGCAUGUUUACUGGCGCAAAACUUGUAGGACAAGCAGAAUCCUCAUUGUCAUUUCUCGUGUCAACCAUAGGGCCUUUUCCUUUGUCAAACCCUCCUUUAAACAGCUGUGUCAGCUGGCUUAUCAUGCUAUUUUGUAAUUCUAGCAUGUUUCUCUGGGACUCCAGCAUUUGGUCUCUCAUUUCCUGCUGGAUCUUAGCCAGCUGCUCUUGCAUCUGAGCCUGCAGUUGCUCUUGCAUCUCCUUUUGCAUUUGCUCAAACCUCUGAUCCAUAUCCUUUGUCUUUUUUCAUGUGUAGUACCGGUGUUCUAGGGUAACUAGAUAAAUGGCCAAUAAUUAAUAAGGUUCUUUUGUGUAUAUGAUGUUAUGCGAUGCAAUGUAAUGCAAAUGCAUGACAUGAAUGCAAAAAGGAGACGUCGAUUCGAAUUUAAUUUCAUUUAGAAAACUUCACUGAAAAACAAAAUCUUUUACAUAAAAUGAAUUACAUAUACGGUCUUGCCCUAACACCCAAAGCUUUUACUUUCCUAAGAAGGCAGGCUAACUCUCGCCCUCGAUCUAAUUCUAACUCAUAUUUAACUCCUAGCACAUCUGCUUGGACCGCCAAAGUCUGUAAGUGAUCAGCCACCUCUCGUAUCUGAGCUAUAGCUUCACCUAUUAAGUAAUCCCUAUCUCGGACCUGAUCCUGAGAUCGGUGAAGUUGCUCCCCUAGUUGCUCAUUAUUUACUUCCAAUAAUUCAAUUUGAUUCUCACAGUUCUGAAGUGUAGCUUCAAGUUCUUCUACUUUCCCCUUCAAAUUCUCGAUCUUGCUUAGACUAGCUAUUAAUUCAAUUACUGAGUUACGACACCGAUGUUGCUGUAGUGCCGUUUCUAACUCCUCCACCUGAGCUCUUAACAUCUGUUUUUCAUUCUGGCUAUCAUCCAAACUCUUUUUACAAGUGACUUCUCGAGCCUGAGCAUCGUGGAACUUUCUUUCCCACUAAUCAGCCCUAGCCUUUUCCUCUUGGAUUUCUUGCCUCCACUGUUCAGACGUUUUACCCAAGCUAGCAUUUCUCAUUGACUUAUGCAGCUGCUUGUAAUCAGUCUUCAGACUGUCUAGGUCCUCCUCAACUUCUCUCUUUUUCUUUCUCAAAUUCUCAGCCUCGGAUUUUUGAACAUCAACAUCCAACUUUAAGUAUACUUUUUCCUCCUCCAACUGCUCUAUUUUCCUUUCUAACUCUGAGGUUUUCUUUUCGAAGUCUUGCUUUAUGAUUUCCAAUUCAGAGGGAACCACUCGCAGAUAUUCCUCUAUCGGUCGAGCUUCUUCUAAAUUCGGCCUCGGGAUAUUAUCGUUAACCCUUCUACUCCACCAUUCGUUAUAUUCAGGAGUUACAAUUGGAUUCACAGCAACUCUCUUUAUCCGGCAAGUUUGGUUCCAGGCAUUAUAAAUCUCACGGCUCUUUUUCUUGAAGUCUUUCUCCCCAUACGAGAACCCACUCUGAGCUAGCCCUUGUGUCAUCGGUAUAAAUUGUCUUGAUCUAUAUUGCCUCAAUACCAGUAGAGGGGCAUAUCCAAUGGCUCCCCAAAUCCCCAACAAAUGGACCCAAUCAUAACUCCCACAUCGGUAGAGAAUCUCAUCAGAAACCAUCCAAUGGGCCUUCCAUUUGAUAUCAUUUUCUUGGAGAUUUUAAAGUAUCGCCAUCCAUUUUUCCUCUGUUAUGUCAUAUUUUUUCGAUAUGGCCACUAUCUCUUUCAAAGGUGAGUAAUCUCCGAAAAAAGGUCGGUAAGAGGCCUUUUCUACCCUUCAAAAGUGGCUAUGAAACCAUACUAACAAGAGUUGUGCACACCCAAUAAAUCUGCCUUCACCUGACCUCCGACAUACACUCAAAGAUCUGAAAGUCUCAGCCAGGAUUGCAGGAACUGGAGUGACUCCUUUACCUAGUCGGUCAAAUAGAUCGGCGACUGCUUCAUCUACAUGCCUUAAAGCCUUAGGGAAAAUAACCAAACCAUAAAUUCUCAAGGUGAAGACAUCAACUCUUUUCUUCAUGUUAGGGUGUGUCAGGAUCAGAUCUCUCAAAUUUUCCCAAGGGAUGCACUUUCCACUGCCUUUCUGCUGGACCCGAGCCUCAACCCACUGUUCACUCAUCCCAGUGAUGUUCAUCAACCUCUUUACAAAGGUUGGGGUAUUGACAGCUCUAGAAUAAAUCUUAUCAACUUGAAACCUCGGACAGUGAAGCAAGGCUGUGUAUUCCUCGAUAGUAGGUGCUAGAUCCACCUUUCCGAAAGUAAAACAACUGUAGGUGGAAUUCCAAAAUUGAGCCAUGGCGCGGAACAAAUACCUAUCUACCUUAACAUCGAGGAGAUAAGGAACAUCACCAUAAUUACAGUAUAGUAGCUGCUUCAUCUUAUCAUCCCAGUGACUCCAUAAUUCUUUCAACUCCUGAAGAUCGUUCUGAGCCACACUAAUACGAGUAAAGUCCCAUAACUCUGACGUGUACUCCUUUGUCAAACUGUCACCUUUCUCUAACUGUGCAUUCUCCGACUAUCUUUGGACAAACGCGUUGUCUUUCACUUUAUCAAGGAAUUCAUUCUUCAUGGCAAAACUUUCUAUUAGUAACCGAACCGUAUAUCGACACCUCCUUUUAGGAUGAAAAUGUUAUGCAAUCACUAUUAAAGAAAGAAGGAAGAACCCAAGUCAAAAUUCAUGCAUAAGAAUAAAAAUCAAAGUAAUCAAGAAAUUAUCAACCGCCUAUUCAGGAAACCACUAGGGUUAGGUGUAAUUCUACCUAAGGCGGGUUCCUACAGCUCACUAUAUGUGAUUUAGUUCUAGAGUAAAGGUACCUGAACCAGCAGAUUCCUCGACCCUCGCCCAUUAUAGGUUCAGAUGGAUCAAGUUCGGUUCAGGGGAAUACAUUUCCUUAUGCCCGUGCGGAGGUGAAAACCUCACGAAGACAUAAGUACGGAUGUAUUCCGGAAGCGAUCCCCUAGCCCAUGCGGAGGUGAAAACCUCAUGAAAGCAUAGUUUCUCACUCCCACUUAAAAGGUGCGACCACAACGGUCAUGCAAAAUGAUACAAGAAUAUAUCGAAAGACUCGACAAAUAAAGUAAAACCCACAUGAUAAAAACUGACAAAAACACAGAAAAUACAAUGAGAGGAUCAUAGAUUUAAAAACCAAAUUUCCAAUUUUUGACAAUAAGAUAGAAAACAAUCAAUUUACAGCUCGAUUAUCUGAUGUCCCCAGUGGAGUCGCCAAGCUGUCGAAACCAUUUUUUGAAAACGGGAAAUUGACUUUGAAAAUGAAAAGUUGGGAGUCGCCACCAAUCAUUUUUAAUAGGGUGUGACUGGUUCACCUCAAAACACGGUCGUUUUUAAUAAAUAAAUAAAUUUUUCAAAACGACGAUUUUGGUCUGCGAAAAUAAAAAAUUGGUUCGGGAGUCAAUUACGUACGAGGAAGGAUUAGCACCCUCGACACGCCCAAAAUUGGUACUUGAUUGAUUAUUUAGUGUCUCAAUGUCGAAAAUUAAAGAUUUGGACAGAGUUCAAAACGCGAUCCUCCUUUUAUUGGCUUUUAAAACAUUUAGGUAAGUCAAAUGUGUAUUAAAGACCAUCUCACCUUGAGGUAAAACAUUACAUCCAGUACGUUAGGACACAAUAUUUUUUACCCUCAGAUGUGAUCUUGCCUUUAAAACGUGCGUUUUUAGCUUUAAGAGGGUAUUCGAACAUUCAAAGCAGACCAAGAAAGCGAAACCUAGUACGUUAGGGCACAAUCCUUUGAAUUCUUUAAAUAUCGAACAUUGCCUAUGUUUUGAAAAAUUUUGAGAGUGAACCGAUAAAGGGAUAUUUUGAUAUUCAAAACAAACAAAGAAUGCGAAAAAAAAAAUAAUAAUUUUGUAUAUAAAAAAAAUCAAUGAAAAAAAACUAUGGUAUAUAAAAAUAAUAAAAUGAUAAAGUAGGUUUAUUAAAAAUUAUAAAAAAAACUUUAACGAAGAAUAUAUGCAUAUAAAAAUUAUAACUAAUGAUAGUAAAAUAAUAGUAGUAAACGGUAGGAAAAAAAUAAAUAAAAUAUGAUGAAUAAAAUAUAAUAAGUAUAAUAAACUAUAUUUAAAAUUAUUAUAAAAUAUAUAUAAAAAGAAAUAACACAGGAAAAAAAUGAUUAUUAGCAAAAGAAAAAAAAUGAUACGCCAAAUAAUGUAAUACAUAUAAUGACAAGUUAUACAUAAAAUAAUUAGUUUUACUUAAAAAAAUGUAUACAAAGCAUAUAACAAAUAUAAAAAUAAAUAAAUAAUAUAAUAAUGUGAAACAUAACUCAAAUUGACUAAAUUAAAUGGAAGAAAAAAAUAACGAAAAUGAUAUAAUAAGUAUAAUAAAUAAUAGUGUAAAAAAAUAAUACAAUAAAUAAUAGGAAAAUAACCUAAAAUAAUUAAAUAAAAUAGCAAUAGAUUAAUAAUAAUAGUACCAAAAGAAUUUAAUUUUGUGAUAAAAGUGUUUAAAAUAAGCAAAAUAGGGCUUAAUUGAGAUCAAAACGGAAGUUCUAGGAUAAAGCACAAAUAAAAAGGGAAAGGAGGACCUCAUUGAUGGGCGCGUGGAACAAGGGGGUUUAAAAAUGCAAUUUACCCAAAUUUCUGAACCUAGCAUUUAAUAUGGACCAAAUUAAAAGUUGCACAAAAUUGCUGGGUGAAAUUCAAAAACAAAAGUGAAGCAGAUUUGGGCAGCAAGAAAAUGUACAGGGACCUGAUGCACAAAUUGACCCCUUAAGGGCAAAACACGUAGGCCCCGCCACUUUAAAAGCUAUUGAAUGGUUCUGCAGGACCCAUUUUAUUUCUUAUUCCCAUUGUUUUUCAAACAAAAAGAAGCAGAAUGCUUCUUCUUCCCUGCUCCCUUCCCAUUUUUCUUUGCUAGGAAUUCAACCUAGCUUGCGCCACCUGGAGGAUCAUCGGUGCCACGCACCUCCACCCCACCGCCGGUUCACGGAUCAAGACCAGGUAAGCCCUCCUUUCUCUUUUAAAACUUUGUUUGAUUAUUUUCAAAAAUAAGAAAAAAAAAGGAAAAAAAAAUGUAGAUGCACAACAAAGGCUAAAAACCUUGAAAAAAAAAACUAUAAUCACCUUUGAUUCUAUUGGAUGGUAUUAAAAGUUUACUUAGAAAUCUGGUAUAUUUCUCUGUAUUUCUCUUGAUUCCCCCGAAAAAAAAAACUCUCCUUUAUACCGUAUUUUCAAUGGCUUUUUAUAGCCUAAAAAUAAAACAAGGGAAAAACAAGUCUCCUCCUGUUACUAUGCUUUUUGUUGUUUUCUGUUGAAGAUAUAGCUGC